rnacentral:rRNA from 1 species
GUAGGGAAUUUUGCGCAAUGGGCGAAAGCCUGACGCAGCAACGCCGCGUGAUCGAGACGCCCUUCGGGGUGUAAAGAUCUGUCAGUGGGGACGAAACUUGACGGUACCCACAGAGGAAGCACCGGCUAACUCCGUGCCAGCAGCCGCGGUAAUACGGGGGGUGCAAGCGUUGUCCGGAAUCAUUGGGCGUAAAGAGUUCGUAGGCGGCACGUAAAGUCUGGUGUUAAAGGCAGAGGCUCAACUUCUGUACGGCACUGGAUACUUGCGAGCUAGAAUGCGGUAGAGGUAAAGGGAAUUCCUGGUGUAGCGGUGAAAUGCUUAGAUAUCAGGAGGAACAUCGGUGGCGUAAGCGCUUUACUGGGCCGUAAUUGACGCUGAGGAACGAAAGCCAGGGUAGCAAAUGGG